CGACCAAGAGAUCGGAUAACACCUGGAAACAGAUGCUAAUACCGGAUAACAACAGAUGAUGCCUAUCAACUGUUUAAAAGAUGGUUCUGCUAUCACUCUUGGAUGGACCUGCGGUGCAUUAGCUAGUUGGUAGGGUAACGGCCUACCAAGGCGAUGAUGCAUAGCCGAGUUGAGAGACUGAUCGGCCACAUUGGGACUGAGACACGGCCCAAACUCCUACGGGAGGCAGCAGUU
rnacentral:rRNA from 1 species